rnacentral:rRNA from 1 species
GACCCUAUAGAGUUUGAUAUUUAGUAGAAUUUAUUUUUUUUAGAAUUUAUAAAUUGAAUUUUUUUAAUUAUUUGGUUGGGGUGAUUAAAAAAUUAAAAUAACUUUUUUUUUAUUGUCACAUUAAUUUAUGAGUAUUUGAUCCAUUUAUUAUGAUUAUAAGAUUAAAUUACCUUAGGGAUAACAGCGUAAUUUUUUUUGAGAGUUCAAAUCGAAAAAAAAGAUUGCGACCUCGAUGUUGGAUUAAAAUAAAUAUUUGGUGUAGAAGCUAAAUUAAUUGGGUCUGUUCGACCUUUAAAAUUUUACAUGAUCUG